rnacentral:rRNA from 1 species
GUUCCAGACUCCUACGGGAGGCAGCAGUGGGGAAUAUUGCACGAUGGGGGAAACCCUGAUGCAGCGACGCCGCGUGAGUGAAGAAGUAUUUCGGUAUGUAAAUCUCUAUCAGCAGGGAAGAAAAUGACGGUACCUGAUUAAGAAGCCCCGGCUAACUACGUGCCAGCAGCCGCGGUAAUACGUAGGGGGCAAGCGUUAUCCGGAUUUACUGGGUGUAAAGGGAGCGUAGACGGUGAUGCAAGUCAGAAGUGAAAGCCCGGGGCUCAACUCCGGGACUGCUUUUGAAACUGUGUGACUGGAGUGCAGGAGAGGUAAGCGGAAUUCCUGGUGUAGCGGUGAAAUGCGUAGAUAUCACGCAGAACUCCGAUUGCGAAGGCAGCAUACCGGCGUUCAACUGACGCUGAGGCACGAAAGCGUGGGGAUCGAACAGGAUUAGAUACCCCCGUAGA